GUUGCCAACCAUAAUUUACUUAGUUCAUCAAUACUUUUACAACUUAAAUGACUCUCAUUAAACAUCCUAGGUACAUGCCAUUAUCAAUACUAAACAUACUUUACCUCAUUGAAUUCGGGAUCGGCCUAGAAUGCUGAUUCGACAGUCUAGCCUUAACUUAACCUGCGCACGGAAACAAACCGUACGUUGAGUAUACACUCAGUGGUAUUUCUAUAAUCCGAACACUUGAUAAUAUAACAAUUAAACUUAAAAUCACAAUAACAAAUAUAACUAUUCAUUUAUUUAUUUUAUAGAUAAGUUUCAUUUACUUACCAUAAAAAUUCUAUACAAGCCAUAUAACAAACACAACAACAUAUUUGCUCAAUUCUUUUCAUUUGCUUACCGUAUAAAUUCUUUACAAUAUAUUCACAAUUCAUUUGUAUUUCCACUUUACUUCUUAACAAUAUACCAUUUUAAUUCAUUCUAACAUCAAUCAUCAUCCAUUUGAACUUCACUCAUUUCAUGAACCUUUUGGUUCAGGUUUUCAAUCUCAUAUCUCAAUUUCAAUUCUCAAUUCAAUUUUUCAUUUCAUUUCAAUAGCUCAAUCAAUCAAAUUCACUCGAUUUAUCUUUUCACUUAUUUACCCCUAUUAAUAAGACUCGGACUCUGAUAGAUACGUGGAUUCCUCCCAAACACACCAAAAUAUCCAACCCAAACACACCCGGAAUAUUAUAAAUCCUCCAUAACACACCAGUAUAUCAUAUCCUCCCAAACACACCAAUAAGGCAUUAAAUGCCUCUUCAGAUAAACCGAAGUAUAUAAUAACAGAAACAUCUUCUCGGCCGAACUAUAAAUCUCCUCAUCACAUCAUAAAUCCAAUGGCAUGCCAUUUGUAUCCAAUCUGGUCCGAUACUGUUAAUAGGGUAUUCGAUUCACUUUCUCAAUUUAAUAAAUCUUUCAUCAAUAUACCAUUCUAAUAAUCACAUAUAUUCACACAUUUUCAUAAUUUCAUAUAUUUUCAUUCAAUUCAACAAAUAUAUUUCAAUUAUUCACAUUAAUUCAUAAUUUAAUACAACUCAAUUCACUUUUAAAUAUCAAAUAUUCAAUUAUCACAAAUCUCAUAUAUUCAUAUCAAUUCCCUCAUAUUCCAAUCAAUAUAAUUUUUCAAUAUAACAUUCAUUCAAUAUUCAAAUUUUUACAUAAAUCAUAUAUAUAAUAUAUAUUUCAAUCAAUAUAAAUUUGAUAAAUUCAUCACAUACCAAAAUCAAUUCAUUUCAAUUGUAAAACAUCAUAAUUCUAACAUUAACAAUUGUCAUAUGUAUAUAAAUAUAACAAAUAAUGACUGAGUUCGGAUUAUAGAAAUAUAAACCGAAAUUUUCAAGCUAACUCCCGUUGACUUUGUCUUGUCCUUCCUUAGCCGAGAUUUUCGAUACCACAUUGACUAUUAAAGUUUAAAGCUUCAAAACCUUGAUUUUCCCUUUUCUCCUUUUCUUUCUUUCUUUCCUUUCUUUCUCCCCUGUUCUUCUCUGUUUCGUUUGCUUUGUUUUUCUUUUUCAUUUCAUUUAUUU
rnacentral:lncRNA from 1 species